CAAUAGCGUAUAUUAAAGUUGUUGCGGUUAAAAAGCUCGUAGUUGGAUUUCUGCUGAGGACGAUCGGUCCGCCCACUGGGUGAGUAUCUGGCUCGGCCUUGGCAUCUUCUUGGAGAACGUUGCUGCACUUGACUGUGUGGUGCGGUAUCCAGGACUUUUACUUUGAGGAAAUUAGAGUGCUUCAAGCAGGCGCACGCCUUGAAUACAUUAGCAUGGAAUAAUAAGAUAGGACCUUGGUUCUAUUUUGUUGGUUUCUAGAGCUGAGGUAAUGAUUAAUAGGGAUAGUUGGGGGCAUUCGUAUUUAACUGUCAGAGGUGAAAUUCUUGGAUUUGUUAAAGACGGACUACUGCGAAANCANNNGCCAAGGAUGUUUUCAUNGA
rnacentral:rRNA from 1 species